CUAGUUUGGGUAUUUGAUAUUAAAUACUCGAACUACAGGUGUGACAAGUCUUUUCCCAUCACCAGUUCGUUACAGAGUCAUAUUCAAGAAUAAGGGUUUCCCAACUUGUUUCAGCCCUUUAUGAAUGCCAUGGAUGUAUACAGACGCCUUCUGUCAUAUUAUUAUUGCUUGAAUAGCCCAAUCAGUUGUUUAGCUGAAUCCCAUAAGAGAGAACAGAAAAAAUAAUAAUUCAGUUCAAAUUGUUGUGUACAAUCAUACAAUGGCUAUAAUACAGUAUGAUUGUACAAAUUAUAAAUACUGAGACAGUAUUUGCUCCUCCACCAGUAGGAAGAUUCGAAGCAAUGUUGAGGUGGUGUCAGGAGUGGAGUAGUGGAAAUCAGAGAAUCUGCAAGAUAGCAAAAACAAGAGGAUUUAUCAAGAAAAAAGUUCACAUUGACACUAAACAGAGGAUGGGAUUGAAAUUGGCUCAUUUAGUUAAGUUAUAAAUCAAAUUAAUUAUAAGUUAAUUUAGUUGAUUAAGGUUAGGUUAGAUAAGACAUCAACAACU
rnacentral:lncRNA from 1 species